rnacentral:lncRNA from 1 species
GUAGUUGCACGCGAGGAUUCUGGGAAGUGUAGUUUUCUGCAUUUGCCUGCGCUGAGGGGCUCUGCAGUAGGGUGCUCAGGCCCCAACAGAGCUCCCUCUAGCGCUUCUGGGUGUGUUUACACUCUCCGUGAGCUUCUGGAGCCUGGGUACAAAGUUCUUCCAGAAGGGAAGCAGGUUCCCUGUGGGCGUUAUCUUGUAGGUAUUUAUUUGCCUACAUACAUUUUGGUGAGGACACUAGAUAACAGUCAGAACCAGACCCAUUUCCAAUGGAGUUAUUCUGUGAAUGAGUACAGAACACCUGCUAUGUACCAAGCACUACAGGAAGUGGUUUAAAAUACUCAGCAAACAAAAGGAAGUUUAUUGCCCUGGAGAAUUUUCUUAAGGGUAUAGAAAGCAGACAAUAAGCCAUGAACACGAUUAUAUAGCAUUUAAGAGGAAAAAUGUUAUGGGGAAAAAGCAAACGAAGAACAGGCCAAUAUCCCUUAUCAAUUUAAAUGCAAAAAUCAACAAGAUAGCUGCAAACUCAAUUCAGCAUUUAAAACAGGUUAAACACCUUAAUCUGUGAGACUUCUUUCCAGAAUGAAGAAUAGUUCAACAUUGGGAAAUCAAUGUAAUAUACCACAUUAAUAGAAUAAAGGGGAAAAGUCCCUACAUCAUCGUUUCAGCUAAUGUAGUAAAAUCAGUUGUCGAAAUCCAACACCUUUUCAUGAUCAAAAAAACCAAACGAUGAACCUUUUUU